AGCCUUUCAAUACGUACGCGCACGCAGAUCGGGCUGGCAACGGGAACCAGAUAGUGAUACACAUCGCAUGCGCUAAAUGAAAAAAAAACGCUAAAAACAUGCUUCGAAAGCUCGACGCAGUGUCGAAACCUCAGAAUCGAGCGGACCAUCACUAGCCAGGGGUCGUGAGAACAAAGUGUACGCUGGGAGGCGUGGAAUGUCGGGCUGCUUCGCCGGGUAGUGAGCUUCGCAGUUUCGGGCAGCGUCCUCUCUUCUCGCACUGUUUGUGACACUUCAAGUGCCCCGUCGGCUCCUGGGAGAGUGGAAAUCUUUGGGAAUGAGUGUAAUCGGCGCCAUCGAAGCACGACUCUGUUUGUAAAUUGCCAUGCACGACUACUUACUGUCCUUACUUAAGCGAGAUGAAAGUCAUGUGAUGAAGUCAGGUGCCCCAGCUGUAUCCUGCAGAUAUGUGGCAGUGAUCAUGAGUCCUGUGCUGUGCUUCCAGUCCCUAUGUUGGUGGCACAAAUCAUCAUGCAGUUGUCCCACUACAGUGCUAAGAAGCUGCCGAGUGAUGGCAUUUGACCUCAACCCUUGAGAUCCAGCUGCCAUAAAACCCCGGAAGUCCCAGAAAGAGGCAUCAUUACUGGCUUGAGAAAACCACCGGACCGGGCUCCACUAGCAGCGACAGCUUCCAGAACUUCAUUUAAUUGAAUUCCUGUAUACAGGACAUACACUGAAGAGCAUCUUUUUCUUUUUUGUUUAUUAGCUUUGUCCUCAGACAAUAAUAGGGAUGAACCAGUUGUCACCCCAAAAUUUCACUGUCUCCAGUAUGGAAUAACUAAGAAAGAAGGAUAAUUGGAUUGUUGAAAUAAUAAAAAAGUAAAAAGUUUUAUUAUUCUUAAUGGUUAA